rnacentral:rRNA from 1 species
UACGUAGGGGGCUAGCGUUGUCCGGAAUCAUUGGGCGUAAAGAGCGUGUAGGCGGCCCGGUAAGUCCGCUGUAAAAGUCAAAGGCUCAACCCUUUGAAUGUCAGUGGAUACUGUCGGGCUAGAGUCCGGAAGAGGCGAGUGGAACUCCUGGUGUAGCGGUGGAAUGCGCAGAUAUCAGGAAGAACACCAACGGCGAAGGCAGCUCGCUAGGACGGUACUGACGCUGAGACGCGAAAGCGUGGGGAGCGAACAGG